UACUACGUACAGUCGACAGCACAUGAAGUUACCCAGCAUGAACCACUAUGGAGCGGUAAUAGCGGCUAGAUUGCAAUUAAUUUAGGAAGGUUGAAAUUGACUGUACAUAUUUUCUGUUUCAUAUUUUAAAUCACUAAAUAGCAAAACAAUGUUAUAUUUGGAACACUAAAUUAUGCUUAGAUCUAUGAAACUACGCUGGCUACGGAUGUUGAUAAGAGUUUUUUUUAUAGAUAGAGUGGUUCAAGAGACUUGUUUUGCAUAAUUUAUUAUGGUUUUAAACCGGGACUAGCCGCUAGUUAAUUAUAAUUUAUGUCGUCAAUAUUAUUAAUUUACCACUUUACAUAAACGACAAUUUACAUUAUUUCAUAAUGUACGGAUAAAAAUUGCAUGAAAUAUUAAAUUAGCAUACUUAUUUAUCAAAUUAAGUGUACAAUUUUCAAUUUUAACAAUGAAUAUAAAAGGCGUUUUUGUUUUAUUGUAUUUGGAAAGUGAUACGAUCGCUAUGUCGUCAUUUUUUUUAUUUUCUCUAAUCGUUCUUAUAUGCGGUACCAGCGCACAGCCCAGUAAUAGUUGGGGUGUCUGCUUUCUUCCCAUUGACACUGGAUUAUGCAAGAUGAUAAUACCUAGAUAUGCUUAUGACACGAAGACUCAACGAUGCGAGUAUUUCGUCUAUGGAGGAUGCGGGGGCAAUAAUAAUAACUUCGAAACCCUGGC